rnacentral:lncRNA from 1 species
AUGCUUUGAGUGUCCUAUUAAAGAAACUGUAGUCAAAGGAGAUUAAAUUCUUAACUUCUUAAACGUCAAUUUAAUCAUUAAAGGAGGAAUUCGAACUAGCAAUUUAUAGAGUUCAUGAGCUGUUUUCUAUAUUAUGUAUAGUUUACUUCCCAGACCCCAGAAUUUUACUGGGUAUGUUGUUGCAUAUUUUUCUUGAACACUAUGUGGAUAUUUGGAUGAGUACCGUGUUAAUUGAUAUCUUUAAAAAGAAGGAACGAAAGUUCUGUCAACUUGGCCCGAGGAUUGAGCUAUGGCUCAUUUUUUAGUUCAUCUUGAUCUAACUUAACUUAGCUCAAGUUGACUUAGGGUUGGAUUUGGCGAUGACCCAUUUAUUGAUUUAGCCCAUCUUAGCCCAUAUUGCCCAUUGCCACCCCUGCAUGAUCCUAUCCAAGCAAAAAAAAUCUUCAUAUGUUUCAUGUGAAAUGAAGAGAACUAUAUCCGUGCUCUAUCCGUGUUGAGCUCACCUUUGGCUUCUCCUAGCAGAGUGGAUCUAGGAUUUUAACUUUAUCAGCUUAAUAUUUAUGACUUUUAGCAUUGAAUUCAUUAUAUUUUUUAAGUGAUGGGUUCAUAUAUACUAUUUGUUGCACUUCUCAUGAAUGUUUACGUAUAAUUUAUGCUCCACGUUAAAAAUAUUGUGUUCAAAUAAAUUCUAUACAAAUCCAUCUCUCAUCUCUGGGAAACUGUUGAACAUUGUUGAACCAAGUUCAACAAUUUUUUACAAAUUAGUCCGGACUUGGAUCGGCUAAUUGUUGGACAGAGAACAAAGGAAAAAUUAAAAGACAAAGAAACAAGGUAAGCUACGAGAAGAAGAAAAACUGCGUCUCUUUUAUUUUUAUUUUUU